UACGGAGGGUGCAAGCGUUAUCCGGAUUCACUGGGUUUAAAGGGUGCGUAGGUGGGUCUGUAAGUCAGUGGUGAAAUCUCCAAGCUUAACUUGGAAACUGCCGUUGAUACUAUAGACCUUGAAUGCUGUGGAGGUGAGCGGAAUAUGUCAUGUAGCGGUGAAAUGCUUAGAUAUGACAUAGGACACCAAUUGCGAAGGCAGCUCACUACCCAGAUAUUGACACUGAGGCACGAAAGCGUGGGGAUCAAACAGG
rnacentral:rRNA from 1 species